rnacentral:rRNA from 1 species
UAACACGUAGGUGACCUGCCCUGAAGUGGGGGAUAACAACUCGAAAGAGUUGCUAAUACCGCAUGUGACCACCGAUCCAUUUCGGUGCUCAAAGUCGUAAGACGCUUUAGGAGGGGCCUGCGGCGGAUUAGCUAGUUGGUGGGGUAACGGCCUACCAAGGCGUCGAUCCGUAGCUGGUCUGAGAGGAUGACCAGCCAGACUGGGACUGAGACACGGCCCAG